CAUUGGCCCGCCCCCAUGAGCACAGACAUUGAUCUGGCGUCAUGGGACAGCCCUUUUCCACUGUUACGAAUUAAACCCCCACCUGAAGGAAUUCCCUUCAGGCCACACUUACCUCGGUAAGCUGAGGGGGAGAAGGUUGGAGUAGAGACCACAAAAAACCUCAGUCUAAGCUAAGGUUAUAAUGGUUGUUGAAUUACUAACCAAACCACGGGGAGCAUUGGCUACACUGGUGGAAAUGGUUCAACUCUGAGACUAUCGAUACCGACAGAAUAAGAGCAAAUCUCCGAUACUAAUUACUAGUCUGCAGCUAGAAUUUAUGUCGACCUGAAAUGCGAAGACCGACAACCGCCGAAACAUCUAUUUCUAUAAGAACAUUUCUGAAUGGGACUCUGAAGUAUCCAUUCUAACCACGAAAGACUUCACGGGAGAGAGAGAGAGAGAGACUUUGAACUUUCCAACAGAAAGACGGACGAUUCCAACAGAGAUCACGACGACACACUGAGCCUUCCGUAGUCAUUCUGCAGCCUUCACCCUCUUCUCCACCACCAGGAUGAAUUCAGACGCGGCCCCCAUCACUCAGUUACCCCUGCUGUGACCCCCACCACCCCAGCGGCAGCCCAGACCCCCGUCGUACCAGCAGCCAUCGGUUCCCCCACCCAGCCCAUCCAGCUCAGCGACCUGCAGAGCAUCCUGGCCAUAUGAACGUACCGGCCAUGUCCGCUGCCGUCUCAGUACGGAGGGUUGAGGGUUAACAUUAAACUCCUGUCUCUGCGGAUCUGUCUCCCUCUGAGAUGAGCCUUGGCGUCAAGACAGCUGGGACCUCUCAUGAACCAGUUUGUUCUGCCCUCAGAGGCUGUAGAAGCCGGUGAGAUCAUAUCGUACCUCAGGAACACACACAUCAUCACACACGCAGACGGGGCAGCAGUAGCCUUGAGAUGUGGAAGCGUUUGCCAAAGCCAUGGAAGGGACUGACGAGGAUAAAGACAAGAAGAACAAGGAUGAUGAUGAUGAUGAUGAGGAUUUGAGUCUGGAUGUCACGGAUCUCCCCCCGGUACUGCUGCUCAUUCUGAUCACCAGUUCUGGAGGUCUACAUCACCUGCUUUUCUAGGCUUCACUGAACCAGAUUCAUUAUCAUCAACCCAGGGACUGUCUUGUCUGAUUACACACACAACCUGCUUCCCAUUUCCCCUGAUUAGUAUGUUAUAUAUGUGCCCUCUGUCCUUAUCGGUUAUGGUUCCCAUGUCCGUUGGUGGUGUGAGUACCUAUGCAUUGGUGCAGCUGUUAUGCUGCGUGCUAUAUAUAUAUAUAUAUAUUGUGUAUUACGGGUAUCGUCCCCUGUCGUUCAACACGGUUUACUUUUGUUUGGCUACAGCCCAGUGUUUUUUGUAUACGUGUUUGUUUUGGGUGUAUUUAAAAACUCCUGUAUUCCUGCGCCUGUCUCCAAAUCCUUUAUACCAGCGUGACACCGGAUUAAAAGAUCUCAUGUGUGGUCUCUGACACGUCCCUCUUUCUGUUUGUUACUGCAGUAUAGCACCACACAACCGCUAGUCUGGAGGGAGUGGUAACUGAACAAAAUGUUGUGUAUUUUCUGUAAUGCAUCUUAUUUAAAAUAAAAACAGCCAAUGAAUCAAUCACGUUGAAUAGCAUCUGUAUUCAAUGCAUUGACUUCUAGAUAAAGAAUUAAAAUAACCAAUGCCUUUUGUUUCUUAUUGAAAAGCAAUAAACAAUUGAUGACA